CACCGAUAAAGGCAAAACCAGUGAAAGCUGGUGACGCAAAGCUAUAGGGUCUUCCCCAGAGAUAAAUGGGAUGACAGCCAGUUACCGAA
rnacentral:ncRNA from 2 species